GUCUGUAGCCAUACCAUCCUGAACAUGCUUGAUCUCAUCUGAUCUCAGAAGCUAAGCAGGGUCUGGCCUGGUUAGUUCUUAGAUGGGAGAGUCCCGAUCUUAGCCAAAUGAGAAGGUGGAAGUAAAGCUU
rnacentral:rRNA from 1 species